rnacentral:lncRNA from 1 species
UUCUCUCGCGCGUGUUCAUUCAUGUUUCGUGUUGGCCGUGUUGGCUGCAGUUUCGAAUCGAAAUCAAUUUUUACUCGCGUGUGCUUAUGAAAAAUAACCUCCGUCAUCAAAUCCGCCGGGUGAACGAACCGGAACAUCUCCGGGAUGGCGGAUUUUUCUCACAUUUGGUGGGCGUGUGGAGCUGUUCGGUUACGGGACAAAACCCGCAGUGGAAACGCAGACCCGGCGCAUACUGCGGACAUUUCCGGCCACCGUCAAUAAUCCAUUCCGAAUGGAGGCCUCCAAGAUGCCAAGUGCUCGAUCUGGAAAAGCUACGAGGAGUUCGAACAUCUUCGUAGUCUACUACUUCCAACGCGGAUGCUCGUAGACGUGAAAUGCGGACAUUCCAGUUUGCCAUCAUGGUUCCUUUCUUGGUGGCAACGUUAAUUCCUGAAGCAGCAGGACAUUUGAAGAUGAAGAAGUGGACUCUCGACAAAACGGAGCUUUUGGCCGACAGCUUGAAGCGGAAUUACGAAAGAAAACGUCGGAGGGAGCCCAACGACAGUUUCAACUCGACCGCGGCGGUGAUUAAAGGAAACCCUUCCUGAAUGGCGAGAUGCUGGACGGACGGCGGUGACGAAAAUCCUGACGGGAGUUGUGAGUGAUGAGUAAUAAGAAAAGCUUGGUUUGUUUCUAAUAAAUUGUUUCAUUUUUGAAGUUCAAUUUAAAAAA